rnacentral:rRNA from 1 species
CGCAAUGGGCGAAAGCCUGACGGAGCAACGCCGCGUGAGUGAUGAGGUCUUCGGAUCGUAAGCUCUGUUAUCAGGGAAGACAAGUGCGUAAGUAACUGUGCGCACCUUGACGGUACCUGGUCAGCAGCCACGGCUAACUACGUGCCAGCAGCCGCGGUAAUACGUAGGUGGCAAGCGUUAUCCGGAAUUAUUGGGCGUA